rnacentral:rRNA from 1 species
AUUGAACGCUGGCGGCAUGCUUUACACAUGCAAGUCGAACGGUAACAGGCCGCAAGGUGCUGACGAGUGGCGAACGGGUGAGUAAUGCAUCGGAACGUGCCCAGUCGUGGGGGAUAACGCAGCGAAAGCUGUGCUAAUACCGCAUACGAUCUAUGGAUGAAAGCGGGGGACCGUAAGGCCUCGCGCGAUUGGAGCGGCCGAUGUCAGAUUAGGUAGUUGGUGGGGUAAAGGCUCACCAAGCCAACGAUCUGUAGCUGGUCUGAGAGGACGACCAGCCACACUGGGACUGAGACACGGCCCAGACUCCUACGGGAGGCAGCAGUGGGGAAUUUUGGACAAUGGGCGCAAGCCUGAUCCAGCAAUGCCGCGUGCAGGAAGAAGGCCUUCGGGUUGUAAACUGCUUUUGUACGGAACGAAAAGGUCUGGGUUAAUACCCUGGGCUGAUGACGGUACCGUAAGAAUAAGCACCGGCUAACUACGUGCCAGCCGCCGCGGUAAGAC